UACGUAGGUGGCGAGCGUUAUCCGGAAUGAUUGGGCGUAAAGGGUGCGCAGGCGGUCCUGCAAGUCUGGAGUGAAACGUAUGAGCUCAACUCAUGCAUGGCUCUGGAAACUGGAGGACUGGAGAGCAGGAGAGGGCGGUGGAACUCCAUGUGUAGCGGUAAAAUGCGUAGAUAUUAGGAGGAACACCAGUGGCGAAGGCGACUUUCUGGACAGUAACUGACGUUGAGGCACGAAAGUGUGGGGAGCAAACAGG
rnacentral:rRNA from 1 species